rnacentral:sRNA from 1 species
GGAUCGCUCCAGCCCAGGAGUUUGUGACCAGCCUGGUCAACAUGAGACCCCUGUCUCUACUUUUAAAAAUUAAAAAAAAAAAAAAAAAAAAAAAGAUAUUUUGGGCAGAGAGAAGUGGCUGUGCAAAGGUGGGUGUUUGCUGAGUUAGUUCAAGGAGCAGAAAGGAGGCUGCCAGGGUAUGAGGGGCAGAGCGCCUGGGGAGUUUGUGUUUGUCUGAGGGGGAUGGGAAAGGGAGUGUUAUUUGGGCUGUGAGAAAAGCUCUUCCUUGCUGUCUGGUGAGAGUAGAGGUGGGAGGCCUCCAGGCCAAGGCAGGUGUGUGGGGCCCCAAGGCAGGUGUGUGGGGCCCCAAGGCCCAGCUGGUGAGAGAACCUCACAGCUCCCAGGCUUUUCUUCCCCACCAGCCUCCCUGCCCUUCGCUAUCCUGACGCUGGUGAACGCCCCGUACAAGCGAGGAUUUUACUGCGGGGAUAACUCCAUCCGGUACCCCUACCGUCCAGAUACCAUCACCCACGGGCUCAUGGCUGGGGUCACCAUCACGGCCACCGUCGUCCUUGUCUCGGCUGGGGAAGCCUACCUGGUGUACACAGACCGGCUCUAUUCUCGCUCGGACUUCAACAACUACGUGGCUGCUGUAUACAAGGUGCUGGGGACCUUCCUGUUUGGGGCUGCCGUGAGCCAGUCUCUGACAGACCUGGCCAAGUACAUGAUUGGGCGUCUGAGG